rnacentral:rRNA from 1 species
CCCUACGGGGGGCAGCAGUGGGGAAUAUUGCACAAUGGGGGGAACCCUGAUGCAGCGACGCCGCGUGGGUGAAGAAGUCAUUCGUGACGUAAAGCCCUAUCAGCAGGGAAGAAAAUGACGGUACCUGGCUAAGAAGCCCCGGCUAACUACGUGCCAGCAGCCGCGGUAAUACGUAGGGGGCAAGCGUUAUCCGGAUUUACUGGGUGUAAAGGGAGCGUAGACGGCAGCGCAAGUCUGGAGUGAAAUGCCGGGGCCCAACCCCGGAACUGCUUUGGAAACUGUGCGGCUCGAGGGCGGGGGGGGUG